GACGAACGCUGGCGGCGCGCCUAACACAUGCAAGUCGAACGAAGUUUUAGAGAGCUUGCUCUCUUUGACUUAGUGGCGGACGGGUGAGUAACGCGUGAGUAACCUGCCUUUUUGAGGGGGAUAACGACUGGAAACGGUCGCUAAUACCGCAUAACAUAGCGAAACCGCAUGGUAUUGCUAUCAAAGGAGUAAUCCGCAAGAAGAUGGACUCGCGUCCAAUUAGCUAGUUGGUGAGGUAAUGGCUCACCAAGGCGACGAUUGGUAGCCGGACUGAGAGGUUGAACGGCCACAUUGGGACUGAGACACGGCCCAGACUCCUACGGGAGGCAGCAGUGGGGAAUAUUGCACAAUGGGCGAAAGCCUGAUGCAGCGACGCCGCGUGAGGGAAGAAGGUUUUCGGAUUGUAAACCUCUGUCCUCGGUGAAGAUAAUGACGGUAACCGAGGAGGAAGCCACGGCUAACUACGUGCCAGCAGCCGCGGUAAUAC
rnacentral:rRNA from 1 species